UGACCAUUUUGCUCUUACUUUUGACCCUUGUCGAUGCUCUGACACCAGUCCUCAGACAGGCUAUUAAUUAUACGGCUAAAAGAUCCCGUAACUAGUCUCUUGGCUAACGCCGGCCUAGAAGAUAAAAGAAAGUAUGAGUAAACAGACCUCAUAUUAUAAUGUGGAGUCCAGCUGUGUCUGGAUGAAGCUAAUGACCCCACCCUUUCAUCAUUGGCACUAAUUACACUCAUCAAUAUUAAUGAGCUCAUUAGCAUGGUGACAAAAUGUGUGUAAUUUAUGAGCUAUGUGUUCGCAUUAGGAGUUAGGAAGGGAGCAGAGUGAGGAGAGGGAGGUAAAAAUAAAGUGGAACUAUACUUACCAGUCACAAUGUGCAAGGAUAAAUGUGCAUAAGAAGAAUGACUCCUGUGGGAGACAAGAUCAUCUCUUGAGACAGGACAAAGUCAAUAUGGAGAGUUACACAAAACCCAAAGGGAGCAAGCCACCAGAGGCGAGACGUAUACUGACUGAUAAAGAUGAAGAGGGAUAGAGCGAA